UACGAAGGGUGCAAGCGUUACUCGGAAUUACUGGGCGGAAAGCGUGCGUAGGUGGUUUGUUAAGUCUGUUGUGAAAGCCCCGGGCUCAACCUGGGAAUGGCAAUGGAUACUGGCAAGCUAGAGUGCGGUAGAGGGUAGUGGAAUUCCCGGUGUAGCGGUGAAAUGCGCAGAUAUCAGGAAGAACACCCGUGGCGAAGGCGGCUCUCUGGGACGGUACUGACGCUGAGACGCGAAAGCGUGGGGAGCGAACAGG
rnacentral:rRNA from 1 species